AGAUCAUUCAGUUUGUUGGUGAAGAUUUGAUCAAGAAGUUGUGAAUAAAAUUGAUUGGCACUGAAGAAAAAAAAAAAAAAGGAUCAUAAAGCUUGGAAAAUCACAACAAGGAUGUCCUAGGACUGUGAAAAACUUGCGCAUGGGAAAGAGCAAAGUUUUAGUACUGUUGAAUACCCAAUGAGCCUGAAUGAAGUCUGAGACUGAAAGGAUAAUUUGUGACGUGAUUUGUGAUUUGUGAUUCAAUUGUACUAGUCAAGGAAGCCUUCCAUUUCUCUUGAGGGCUAAGUAUUUUGAAAUGUGGAGAACAACUUCCGUGAAAAAAGAUUGAAUCUCCAGUUAGCUGGACUUGGACUGUCAAUCAAUC
rnacentral:lncRNA from 1 species